UACGGAGGAUGCGAGCGUUAUCCGGAUUUAUUGGGUUUAAAGGGUGCGUAGGCGGGAUGCCAAGUCAGCGGUAAAAAUGCGGUGCUCAACGCCGUCGAGCCGUUGAAACUGGCGGGCUGGAGUUGGAGAGAAGUACGCGGAAUGCGCGGUGUAGCGGUGAAAUGCUUAGAUAUCGCGCAGAACCCCGAUUGCGAAGGCAGCGUACCGGCUCCACACUGACGCUGAGGCACGAAAGCGUGGGUAUCGAACAGG
rnacentral:rRNA from 1 species